UUGUUUCUCUUCUCGAUCGAGAUCUCGGCCGCACGGCCGCACGCGCCGCUCGCCAUCACGCGCCGCCGCCGCCUAGCUAGGUCGCCGCCGCGGGACGCCGCCUCCUCCGACCGCUGCCGUCUAGGUUGCCGCGGCCUAGAUCGUACAUAUCCUCUCCUCGCCAGGACGCGCCGCCGCCGUCUAGGUUGCCGCCGCCUAGAUCGUACAUAUCCUCUGCUCGCCAGGACGCACCGCCGCCGCCUAGCUAGGUCGCCGCCGCCUAGCUAGGACGCCGCCUCAUCCGGCCGCCGCCACCUAGAUCCCCGCCGCGUAGAUCGCCCAUAUCCUCGCUCGCCAAUCGCCUCCACUCACUGCCAACGACCCUGCGGCAUCGGUUGCCUGUCUUCCCCGCUCCCGUCACGAGCCGCCGCUGCCUUCAUUGAGAUCUCCUCGGCCAUCCUCUCCUCCUCGCGACCGACCGAGGGGUUGUCCUCGCUGAGGCCGCCGCCGCACAAGGAGAGGCCGGUUGUCUAAGGCUCCAAGCUCAUGGAUCCGCACCCUUCAUUCCUCUCCUGUCCCCGUGCAACAACUUCCACCAUCCCCAACGAAUCGGCUAAAUAUGGUGCAACAUAUGAUUGAUCAUGGAGUUGGUGUGCCAUCAGAUGUGAAAACAUUCGCUCAAAGGCAAUUCCAACUAAGAAAAAAGAAACAAGGGGGUAUCAGGAGAAUUGUUGCCAUGCUGCAGGUUCAAGAAGUUUUGCGGUUAUUCAAUAUCAGAUGGUGCGUUUGAGGAAUUUAAACAAUAAACUUUGCGUUGCAUUUGUUAAUCAUCAUAUAUACUGUUACAAGAAAUUAAAGAAGGAAGAACUGUGUCUCGAUCAGAGUUAUAUUGUGUUGUCUAUACCAACAAGAAAGGAGAGCCUGUGGAUGCCUAUAUUGCAGGAAAGAUGGUUAAUUCGCAAACGAAGUAGUAACAAUGGAGAUUCACAAACUGGACAAAGAAAGACAACCAAGAGAAGAAGAACUUCCAAUCCGACUACAAGGAAAUCAAGUUCGAAAAAGGACUCACAAGCUAAUGCCUCGAUGGAGAAUGCACUAGUUACACUGGAAUAUUUUGAUAUUGUAGUUGAUCUGGGUUGUUUCUGCUGGUAGCAGUCUUUUGAUGUUGUAGUAACUGUAAUCUGAAUGAUGGGCAGAGUGAACUGCUGAAUCUUUUUGGGAUGCAACUCUGGUACUUUAGAACUGUUGAAGAUACAAUUUAUGGAUGAUAAUGCACUGUUGGGGCACACUAUUUGAAUACUGGUAUAUGUAAUAUUUUGGGGGCAGUUUACUGAAGUGCAUCUGAUUUGUUUAAGGGCAAA